rnacentral:rRNA from 1 species
UACGUAGGUGACCAGCGUUGUCCGGAUUUACUGGGCGUAAAGAGCGCGCAGGCGGUCGUUCAAGUCGAGUGUGAAAGCCCCCGGCUCAACUGGGGAGGGUCACUCGAUACUGAUCGACUUGAAGGCAGGAGAGGGAAGCGGAAUUCCCGGUGUAGUGGUGAAAUGCGUAGAUAUCAGGAGGAACACCGGUGGCGAAGGCGGAUCUCUGGGCCUUACCUGACGCUCAGGCACGAAAGCUAGGGGAGCGAACAGG